UACGUAGGGUCCGAGCGUUGUCCGGAUUUAUUGGGCGUAAAGAGCUCGUAGGCGGUUCCGUAAGUCAGGUGUGAAAACUCAGGGCUCAACCCGGAGACGCCAUCUGAUACUGCGGUGACUGGAGUCUGGUAGGGGAACACGGAAUUCCUGGUGUAGCGGUGAAAUGCGCAGAUAUCAGGAGGAACACCGGUGGCGAAGGCGGAUCUCUGGGCCGAUACUGACGCUGAGGAGCGAAAGCGUGGGGAGCGAACAGG
rnacentral:rRNA from 1 species